UAAGUAGUACCGAGUUCUUCACACACCGAUUAGCGCUUUUUCCUGUAAUAUAGUUGCGUCUGAUUUGUUAUCUGAAACAUUUACUAGAAACAAAAGUACUUUCAAUAAAGUUAAUCAUGUUUGCCGUGCAGAAUUUGGCAAAAAUAACACCUAAGAUCGCGAGCACUGCAGUCCAACAAGUUCGUACCAAUUACCACAUUGUUUCCAAGCCUAGAAACCGAGUCAGCUUUGUGGAAAAAAUUGGACAUGGAAUCUUCAUGACAAUUGGUGCAUUAGCUCUACCCUUAGUAAUAGCAACCAACUUUAACAAAUGGCGCGAAGCUAGAGGAGAAUAAAUUAUAUAGUUUUAUUCAAAUUUAGUAUGAUUAAGGGAUUAAGGGAUGCCCAAUUUUAUUAAAUAAGUUAUAUAAUUUUUUAAAACUAUAAAUAAGAGGAGCAAAUAGUUUUCAAAUUUAAUUCUCACUUUCUUCUCUACCUACAAAGGAAAAAUGUCUUCAUGGAGUAUUCCUAACUGCUGUUCCCCUAGCAUUGCCAAUGUAUUGGUCUACUAAGUUCACUGAAUGGACAGAACAAUUCAAAUCCGAAUAAUUUGAUGAAGAAAACAAUUAUUUCUGUACAGUAGAAGUAAUCAUGAAUUUUCUGUUUAUAAUAUUAAAUUAUUUGUUCCUCAUAUUUUGAACUUUUUGCUCUUUUUCUCAAACAUAAAUUUAGACUGUCUACCACAAUUUGGCAGUCAAAUUGUUAAAGAAUUAUGAGAUUACAAUAAAUUAUUGUAAAGGGUAUAAAAUGUAAAUUUGUUUU